rnacentral:rRNA from 1 species
AUUGAACGCUGGCGGCAGGCCUACCACAUGCAAGUCGAACGAGUGGCGGACGGGUGAGUAACGCAUCGGAACGUACCGAGUAAUGGGGGCUAACUGUCCGAACGGACAGCUAAUACCGCAUAUUAUUCGAGCGGCCGAUGUCUGAUGAGCUGGUUGGCGGGGUAAAGGCGCACCAAGGCGACGAUCAGUAGAGGGUCUGAGAGGAUGAUCAGCAAAACUGGGACUGAGACGCGGCCCAGACUCCUACGGGAGGCAGCAGUGGGGAAUUUUGGACAAUGGGCGCAAGCCUGAUCCAGCCAUGCCGCGUGUCUGAAGAAGGCCUUCGGGUUGUAAAGGACUUUUGUCAGGGAAGCGGUACCUGAAGAAUAAGCACCGGCUAACUACGUGCCAGCAGCCGCGGUAAUAC